UUCACAAACCCAGUGCUGAUUUUGAAACCUGCUGAGAUAUAUCCUCCCACAAACUUUGAGCAGGGCUGGUGAGGUAGCUCCUGUCCAUCCCAGGAAGCUGUCUGCCUAUCCAACAGGUGUAUCAAGGAGGAGCUGGUACCAGGGAGCAAGUCCUAUAAUCCCAGGACUCCUGAGGCUGAGGCAGAAGGAUGGCAAGUAUGAGGCCAGCCUGAGAAGACAACUCAGUGAGACCAUGUUUCAAAAUAAGGGCUGGGGAUGUGGCUAAAAA
rnacentral:lncRNA from 1 species